AGGAGCAAAUCUGAAAAAAGACGUCCCUAGUUCGGAUUGUAGGCUGAAACUCGCCUACAUGAAGCUGGAAUCGCUAGUAAUCGCGGAUCAGAAUGCCGCGGUGAAUACGUUCCCGGGUCUUGUACACACCGCCCGUCACACCAUGGGAGUCGGAAAUGCCCGAAGCCGGUGACCUAACCGAAAGGGAGGAGCCGUCGAAGGCAGGAUCGAUAACUGGGGUGAAGUCGUAACAAGGUAUC
rnacentral:rRNA from 1 species